GGGGCUGGAGAAGGUCCCAAGGGUUGGGCUGUUCGCCCAUUAAAGUGGCACGCGAGCUGGGUUCAGAACGUCGUGAGACAGUUCGGUCCCUAUCUGUUGUGGGCGUUAGAAAUUUGAGAGGACCUGCCUCUAGUACGAGAGGACCGGGGUGGACGAACCUCUGGUGUACCUGUUGUGGCGCCAGCUGCAUCGCAGGGUAGCUAAGUUCGGAUGAGAUAAGCGCUGAAAGCAUCUAAGCACGAAACUCACCUCAAGAUGAGAUUUCUUUUAAGGGCCGUGGAAGACUACCACGUUGAUAGGCUACAAGUGUAAAGACAGUAAUGUCACAGCUGAGUAGUACUAAUUACCCGU
rnacentral:rRNA from 1 species